UGUCGUUGUUGAUGUCGUUAUUGUUGUUGUCGUCGUCGCAAGGUGUACCUGGCAUGCGAGCGGAGCGGCCGUCCCGACGGAGUGGAGUUGGCUCGCCCGCUGUGGGAGUUGUCACGGCUGUCAUUCACUCGUGGGGACUCGGUGACGGGCCUCGCCGUCUCAGCACAGGUGGUUCGGAUUCUCCACAGCCACCUCUGUGAGCUGACACGACGCCACGCACAGAGGAGGGCACCUACGGCACAGGUGCAUGCUGGGAGAUAUCCCAGCAUGCCUCGGGAGGCAGACGACGCGGAGGCCGAGCUUGAUGCUGAGAUUUUCCAAGCAGAAGCCCUGCUUAUCCUGACUAGCAUUUCGGAGCAGUGUGGGCCUUCCCUGGGCCCUGGCAAGGUCCAGCAGCAGCUGGGCCAAGCACUGGAAAUGAUAGAACAGAUAAGCGGAAACGGGAAACGCACAGAGGACACAGCUCUCCCACAAUAACCACCACAACCACCACCACACAGAGACCCACAGACUCACCACACAGAGACCCACAGACUCACCACACAG